AGUGAGAGAGCCACCUGAGCGAGCGAGCGAGCCACCUGAGCACCGACCUGAUCAUCUGCCUGCAGCCACCAACACACGUGGUCUAGCAUCCUGCUUCCUAUCAAAGUGCUGCAGGUGUGUGGACAUCCAGGAUAAAACACACCUGUGACAGGUUCGUUCUGCUGUCAGCAGCACCUGAUCGGGAUCAGUCACAUGGUGGAAGUCAGAGGAACCUCGGCCUCCUGGAGAACGUCAGGGAGAGAACCUGAGAGAGGGACGCAGCUACAGUGAGAGACGGUAUCUGAAACACUGUGAGGUCUUUGUGUGUCCUCAUGUCUCUGAGGUCUCUGAUGUCUUUGUGUGUCCCACCCUGCUCAGCAUCUCGUCCCCAACCAGCAAUGAAACAUGUUCUUCCUGGUGUGACGUCUUCAGCAGGUAAACACAGCGGCUGGAUGGUCUCUGAAAAACACGUUACUCUUCAUGUGUGUUGUAACAAAGGUGAUUUAACCUGAACCCUGAGAGCCUCUGCAUGUUUUUCCUUGAACCAUCUCCUGGUUAAGCUGCUGUAGGCUUCUCUCCCUCCCUCUCCCUCCCUCUCUCCCCCC